GGCCGUCGUGCGGCAGGUCGAGCUGGAGGCCGUCCCGGCUUCGCCUGCGCCGGAACCGAAUCCGGUGUCCGGUGCGACAUCGGCGGCGGCCACC
rnacentral:tRNA from 1 species